GAGUUUGAUCGUGGCUCAGAUUGAACGCUGGCGGCAUGCCUUACACAUGCAAGUCGAACGGCAGCAUGAUCUAGCUUGCUAGAUUGAUGGCGAGUGGCGAACGGGUGAGUAAUACAUCGGAACGUGCCCUGUAGUGGGGGAUAACUAGUCGAAAGAUUAGCUAAUACCGCAUACGACCUGAGGGUGAAAGUGGGGGACCGCAAGGCCUCAUGCUAUAGGAGCGGCCGAUGUCUGAUUAGCUAGUUGGUGGGGUAAAGGCCCACCAAGGCGACGAUCAGUAGCUGGUCUGAGAGGACGAUCAGCCACACUGGGACUGAGACACGGCCCAGACUCCUACGGGAGGCAGCAGUGGGGAAUUUUGGACAAUGGGCGAAAGCCUGAUCCAGCAAUGCCGCGUGUGCGAAGAAGGCCUCGG
rnacentral:rRNA from 1 species